GACGAACGCUGGCGGCGUGCUUAACACAUGCAGUUGAACGGAAAGGCCCCUUUGGGGGUACUCGAGUGGCGAACGGGUGAGUUACACGUGAGUAACCUGCCCUUGACUUCCGGAUAACCUCAGGAAACUGGGGCUAAUACCGGAUAGGAAUCCUUGCUGCAUGGUGGGGGUUGGAAAGCUUCGGCGGUUUUGGAUGGACUCGCGGCUUAUCAGCUUGUUGGUGGGGUAGUGGCUUACCAAGGCUUUGACGGGUAGCCGGCCUGAGAGGGCGACCGGCCACAUUGGGACUGAGAUACGGCCCAGACUCCUACGGGAGGCAGCAGUGGGGAAUAUUGCACAAUGGGCGGAAGCCUGAUGCAGCAACGCCGCGUGCGGGAGGACGGCCUUCGGGUUGUAAACCGCUUUCAGCAGGGGCGAAGCUUGUGGUGACGGUACCUGCAGAAGAAGCACCGGCUAACUACGUG
rnacentral:rRNA from 1 species